rnacentral:rRNA from 1 species
AACGAACGCUGGCGGCACGUUUUAAGCAUGCAAGUCGAACGGCAGUGGGGGCAACCCCAUGAGAGUGGCGAACGGGUGAGUAACACGUAGGUGAUCUGCCUUAGGGUUGGGGAUAGCUUGUGGAAACACAGGGUAAUACCGAAUAAGCUGACGGGGCUUUGGCCAAGUUAGUAAAGGUGCUACGGCACCGCCUUGAGAGGAGCCUGCGGCUGAUUAGCUAGUUGGUGGGGUAAAGGCCUACCAAGGCGACGAUCAGUAGCCGGCCUGAGAGGGUGUACGGCCACACUGGAACUGAGACACGGUCCAGACUCCUACGGGAGGCAGCAGCUAAGAAUCUUCCGCAAUGGGCGAAAGCCUGACGGAGCGAUGCCGCGUGAUCGAUGAAGGUCGAGAGAUUGUAAAGAUCUUUUCCAACUGAGGAAUAAGGAUCGGAGGGAAUGCCGGUCUGAUGACGUUAAGUUGGGAAUAAGCCCCGGCUAAUUACGUGCCAGCCGCCGCUGUAA